CACGGGGGGAGCAAGCGUUGUUCGGAAUCACUGGGCGUAAAGGGCGUGUAGGCGGUCAAGUAAGUGGAAUGUGAAACGCCUCGGCUUACCCGAGGACCUGCAUCCCAAACUGCUUGGCUUGAGUAUGGGAGAGGAUGAGGGAAUUCCUGGUGUAGCGGUGAAAUGCGUAGAUAUCAGGAGGAACACCGGUGGCGAAAGCGCCCAUCUGGCCCAAUACUGACGCUGAGGCGCGAAAGCUAGGGGAGCAAACGGG
rnacentral:rRNA from 1 species